UUGCUUCACUUCCGGUUGUCAUAUUUGAAUUGCGAAGUCUCAGCGCCGGGUCAAAAUCAAUCUUCUGAAUACUUCCUCCCCCUCCUGGAUUAAACCGUGACAGAGAGUGAUUGAGGAACCUGAAAAUAUGUCCUAACCAGCGUCCUAGGAGGAUCAUCAUGAGUCAGUUGUAAAUGAGAAGCCAUGGACGCCUGCUCCUUUGGGAAUCUCCAAUCCCUUUGAAAAGAAAAUAGAGGUUAAAAAUCUGCUAAACGAGUUAGCAGCAACCAACCUUCUCUUCCACAGUGCAAGAACAGCAGACCAACAUUAAUUGCAAGAGGGAAUUUUGUGCAUUUUUACACUGCACUUUUAAGAUUUCAUGCUGAGGGCCACUUCAAGUGAGGAUGCGGGCCGUAUGCAGCCCCUGGGCCUCCAGUUGCCCAUCCCUGCAUU